UACGAAGGGGGCUAGCGUUGUUCGGAAUUACUGGGCGUAAAGGGCGCGUAGGCUGUGCUGUAAGUCAGGCGUGAAAGCCCCGGGCUCAACCUGGGAAUUGCGCUUGAUACUGCGGCGCUGGAAGGUGGGAGAGGAUGGCGGAAUUCCCCAGUGUAGAGGUGAAAUUCGUAGAUAUUGGGAAGAACACCGGUGGCGAAGGCGGCCAUCUGGCCCACAUUUGACGCUGACGGCGCGAAAGCGUGGGGAGCAAACAGG
rnacentral:rRNA from 1 species